UGCGCAGGCCGCGCUUUGCGGACACAUCAAGCGUUGAGUUUGCCGUUCACUGCUUGCAGCCUAUUGGUCCCAUUUUGCCGCUACUGGCCUGAAGUCUGUUCUUAACUGCUGUUGUUGCGGUUACAAGCAGCGUCGCUUCUGCUGCAACUAUUGGCAUCUUUCGUGUAGGCCUUUCCUGCUGUGGUAUAUUGUAAGCAGCACGCGCAGACAAGGUAGACCGGUCACUGCAAUCGUCUAGGUUAGCCUGUGCAGUUGAUCGUUUUUAGGCCAAGUUUUAAUGAGUAACUGAGAGCAAGAGCCCAACAAGUCGUUGUGAGCGUGCCCGAAACUCGCAUGUCUCACCGCGCCGCUUGCUACACUUUUUGGCCUACACAGAACAGUGGUGGCCUCGUGUCGCUACUCUGCGGUACGAGCGCCUGUCGCCACCGCCGUGCGACGCUGGUCGCUCUCGUAGCUCCUCUUCUAUUCGCCUUGCCUCCGCAAGUCGUUACCGCCACUCGGAGUAACAUAAAUUGUCGCCUAUCGGGUGUUUGCGCUUGGGAUCGCUCGGUGGACCGGCGAGCUGUGACAGCGCCGACGGCAGUGGCAGCAGCAGGGUCGUACUACUGGCGUGAGCUGGAGUAGUAGACAAGAAGAGAAAAAGAGCGAGAAAUAGAAGUGGGGCAAAGCUUGGAGACGCCGUUCGAAGGCAGUGAAGGUCUCCCAACAUUGUGGAAUAGAGUAUACAUGGGCCCAGUGUAAGGUAGGAUAGGGGGAUGAGGGCCAAGGGGCCGUAAAAGGUUGGAGGGACGUUGGGCUGAAGCAGACGACAGUCGCCGACGACGACGACGACGCCGCCGCCAGUGAUGGAAGACUGAAGCAGCUUCGCUUCCCUAAAGCUGUCACAGUGUGCGCGUUCUAUGCAAGUCUAUGAGUGUGUCUGUGAAGUGGCCAGCAGUAACGGGACAGGGAAGACUGUACUUGGCAAACAAUGGUCUUCUUGUUUUUCGCUAUCCCCGAAGUUGCGACUUUUGUUUUCCGUCUCUUGCUGCUUUCCUGUCUUUUCCCUACCAGAUCCAGUAUUGGUUACGCCGAGGGAAUAGAUGGCUGCAUGCGUCCGACUAGCAAGAAGUUGUCGUCCGCUUUCUGUAUCGGCCGACGGUGUCACUUUCGCCUGUUUUUGAAGCUAUCACGUCGCCCCCAAGAGUGGCGGGUGCCGGCAACGAUAGACUCCCGCGACCACAUCGCUCGACCAAGAUAGGAUGUGCGUGCGAGCAGGAGUUGUUGACCUGCCGUCUUCGUUCCCUCGCUACACAGCAAUAGUUUCACUUGUAUAGUGCUGGUACUCGCAUAUGGCUGAAGUGGCAGUCUCUGAACUACCUGUAUCAAUAUGGACGCGAUCGGUUGUUGCCCGGUAUGCGACAGACAAGAGAGGGAUAAAACUGAGACAAAGCGAAACAAAAGGGAGAACCGAGAUGCUUUCGAAUCGACGACUGCUGUGAAGGACGAGACAAAAACAAAAGACAAUGUUGUAGUUGUAGUAGCAGCAGCAGCGGUAGCGGUAAAAAGAGCAACAGCAAGGAAAAGGAAUAUGCGAGCUGGAGAAGCAGGAAAAGAAGGAGAACCGGAGAGGAAAGAUGGGGGCGCGUAAGGUAUGGGGCAAACGAUUGUGAAUGAGAUAGCUGCAAAUAUGGCGAGCGAGAUCAAGAGGGACAGCAAGGACUGAGAAAACGAAGGAAAAGAAAAAAGGCGGUGCGGGCGACGCGCGACUGAAAAGAAAAACAUCGCGGGCCAAAAGAGCAAAAGACAACUAAUGCUACCUGGCUUACUUCAUGAGCGUGUUGUAACUCAAGCAUACCGCUGCAGCUUCUGUCGUCGUUAUCGUGCGAGAUCGCAUAGUUCCUGAUUGUGAUGCGGCAGGCUAGGGGUCCGCUGUUGCUAGCGGCGCCAUUAAUGCUAAUGGAUUUAAGUGUAUCUCGGAAUAAUUUGCCUCCCUUCGAUUGGACCCUCUCGACGGCCGUCGUCCACGAUUGGUACGCGUAUAGCAUGCUAUCUGAGCGUACAAUAUCCUUUCUAGGACACGCAGGCAGUAUUUUACCCUCUCGCUAUUUCGCUUUCUAAUUCUCUCAUUUCCUCGAUCCAAUGCAGCGGACCCCACACGAGUCGAGUCGCGUAAGUGCAGGACACUCUAUCCCGAAAUAAGCUACUGCUCCGCAUUACUUUUGUACAAUUGCAGCAGGCAGCUCUAUCCGCACUAAUAAAAAUAAAUAAUAUUCCUUGCAACGCUUUCUCUUAUCCAUUUCAUAACGACUCGACGCGUGUUACGGUUCCACGCAAAUCGCACCGACGGUAUCCAGGAUGAUAUCUGCUGUACCAUACAUAUAUUUCUGGGAUUUAAGUUUAUCGUGAUAGCAUGAACAAUCAUUUUUGCUUUCAGGAAUAUCAAAGUUUGAAUACAAGUAGUUUUACUGAUAAUUUUUCGUGCUAUUCGUUGAACUCGGUUACGGGAUCGACGUAGUAUAUGCACGCACGUGCUUUGUUCUGCUACCCCGUGCAGCACAAAACUUUCGGCAUAUAUACCGCAAAUCGGAGUGGAACUGACCUUUGGAAAGUCGAUGACUCAUAUCUAGGUAGUAGAAUUAUUCGUAAUAAACUAUAAUAAAGAAGAAAUUGCAAAACGUCAAUUUUUUGUGGGGCUUCAAUUGCAUUGGUUUGCAGAAGAAGCUUGUAAGAAAAAUGGACCGUAGAUAAUGUACAUUUUUAUUACUAUAGAGAUACGUUCAAACAAUAGAAACCAAAUUCGUCAAACCAGAUAUAGCACUUUCACUAGUGGAUAGUAGAUAGCAUAAGCAACAACAUUAAAACUAGCCCAUCCACUCAUCAGGGACGUCUUUACAAUACAGAUCCCUGGAAACACGAACUGAUCAAUUGACUCUCUAGAUAUACGGAACGAUUCAUUGUCAAUCGCCAAGCCCGAUUUGAAAUAAAACACCAGCUAACUAUAUAGCAGCUACAGGGAACUGUACAAACACAAGCUCUUAGUCGUGGCGCUGCAUUCUUUCUCGGCGCCAUGCGUAACCAAUUUGGGGGCGUUAACGCAGGUUGGGUCCACAGCGCCCGCAGCCCUCAUUAGUGGUGGUCCUCUUGUCGUUAUGACAUACAUUAGUAGAGUGGCCGACCAGAACUCAGAUCCCGUCGAGUUCGUUCAUCGCUCGGCUGCCUCGUCGUCUUCAUGUCGACAAGGGCCGCUUGUAAAGACUGAGCUGCUGGCUAGCGAUUCGGAUCUAGCCGAGAGAGCUAGCUGAUGUAUUGGUUUUGCUCACGCGGAAUCAUCAUCAAAAAUAAUAACUUCGCCUCGCGUCGCCCGCCGACGCCAGCGCUGCCGCCACGUCCUCCUGCUCAAGUACUCCACUAUAGUUAUAUCCCUGUCAUGUCGUCUUUUUCGGCUGCCCCGCACUCGUUGGCCUCCUGUGCCCGUUAAGCAGGAGUUCGAGAGACUGAACGAGAGCGCUAGACAGAGAAACACCACCUAACCUUCUCUUUUGCACUCAUUACGGACGCUGAAGGCUCUUCGGCCUCAAGCCCCAGAGUGCAUACAGUCAGCUCAGGCGCUUCUUGUCUCCGGAGGGGAAGGUCUUUCUCUUCUGUUCGAAUAGAAUCAGGUAGGAGUAGCAAUAGUCAGGAAGAUAGGGGAACACGGGGGGCAAAUAGUAGGGGGCAGUAGCGGAGCAACGAAGUAUAGAAGAGGUUUGUCUUGUGUUGUUCUUAAUUGGGUCGCGGCACGCUCGAGCACGAUUAACAUUCUCGACCUACACUAUGCCACACACAUACACACACAGAUCGAGACAGACACAGAUACACCGGCAUACAAAGCAUCAUGGCAUACAUGCGGAAAGACACAUCCGUACGCAUUUACACAGAGUACAGGCCAUAGCGAAAGCAGCAGCGUGGUUUCUUUAGAGCAACGCUUUGGUCAGCUUGUCGCCUUCGGAGCGUUUUGAGGGGGGUCAGCUGGCUCAAAAGGGCAGGUGAGAACAGAGAGUCUAGUGUACAGUCUUUCCCUAUUAAUGCUAUCUCACAAGAAAGGGGGAACGGGGGGAAAGCAUUGUCUUGAGUCGACAGCAUUCGAGUCAGUUAGCUUCGGCGUAGCAGCUUCCCUAGAGGACGUCCCAUAUCUGUGCUCCAUUUCCCUUCCCAAGUGCCUCAUCCGUUGAACGACGACGCUUUCGAAAUGUUCCGAAACAUCGAAGCAAGACGCCAAGACAACAUCACCACCAGCACCACCUCGAAAUAGUUCUUUGUUGGCUUAAGUGUCGUCGACAUUUUCGAUGGCUCAAGUGCCUUCUUCGACAGCCGAGAUGCAGGUUGAGUAGCCAGACGGCGAUUAGGACCGUCGUCCACGACACCUGGAAGUGGGAAUGGUUUGGCAUCUGAGAACCCGGCCGUUAUUAUAGUAGACAAGAGUUCGGAGAUGAAAGACGGCGAAAAUGCUUUAAGCUCACGGCCACCACAAUCCAGUCAGGCGGAUUUUCGACCGGCAGGACCUACGUGCACUACCGGAUACAAGCCUUACACCGCUUCGGAAGUAAAACUCUGACGACGGCGUCCUGGUAGGCGGUGCUGUCGUCGCUAGCCACGUUGGGUGUUUUCUUGUCGUGUGAUCCGCCAGAAGCAGGAG